AACAGCUGAGGCAAAGGAUUUGCCCAGCGUCAGGGAUGACAGGCCACGAAAGGAUUCACUUCGACAGGGAGUUGAAUGGGCCACACAAAAAACCCGCUUCGGCGGGUUUUUU
rnacentral:sRNA from 1 species